rnacentral:lncRNA from 1 species
UAAUUCAUGCUAUUAAAACAAUCAAUUUUAUCAAAUGCUGCAAAAUCGAUAACUCUAAUGUAAAACGUUUGGAUUCGAUAAUAGAACUGAAUUGGGAAAGGUAUGACCAAAUAUUGUAAUAGCAACAGAAAUUAAAAAGGACAAAGGAUCAAAUAAAACCUAGAAAACAAAACCCUAGCAGGAUGGGAUCCAGAGGCGCGAGAUAGACGAUUCGCUGCAAAAUCUUUCGAUUUACUUGGAUCUCUGUCUCAUCUUUCGUCGCUUCCUCUUCAAUCUCCUCAUUCUCUUCUUCUUCCACUGAAAAAGAGCAGUAAUAAUUUAAAAAAUCAGAAAAAAUGAAUAGCUUGAUUCAGAUUGUUAUUUCGUGAAGUGAUUUUGUAGAAAUCGAUCGCUUACCUUAGCUCUCAUGUCGACGCCGGCAGGUUUUCACAGUACCGAAGGCAGAAGGCGACUGAAUGUUGGUGAGGCUAGCAAACGUCGAUUGUCUGCGGUAACCAGCAUUUAUAGUAAAACCCUAAUCUUAUUGCAAGUUGGGUCGAUUUGGGCUUGGCCCAAUAUAGCCCGACGCAAAAAAUAUCCGACAAUUGUUUUUUUAUAAUAAGUUGAUUUGUUUAAUAUAUUCAAUUUUUAUUUAUAUUUUGUUAUUGCGAUCUCCUUAACACUCUUUUGUUAAGGAGCUGAUUUGUACAUAACAACUUUAGACCAUAUAUAACAAUUUUUCAUAAAUAGACAAUUUUAACUUUAUUUGUAUUUUACAUUUUACUCUCUCCCUCUCUACAAUCAUUUCCUCAAUUGUGCACUUUACCCAUCCUAUUAUAUAAUCUCAUUAAAUUAUAGCUCAACUCCAAGACAUAUUUUCUCUUUUAACUUUCCUCAAAUCUUCUGUAGAAACUUGCAAAUAUUGUUUAAGUUUGGCAUGAGCACCUUCAACUUUUGAUGAAGAUCGAUUGCCAAAAUGCAAAUAUUUAUCGGCCCAAGCAAUAACAAACUUUUCUUUCCAAGGCAACCAUAUGUUUUUUAUGUACUCAAUUGCAUCUUUCUUCUCUUUAUGCAUUGAUGCAAAUUCAUAUCAAUUCUCUUCAAAGAGAGCUUCCGUUGUCGAAUAUACCGCAUUAUUCCAACCGGACAUAUAAAUAUUGAAGUCCUUGGUACAUCCAAAAGACUUCUUACAAUUUGCCAAUACAUUUUUUCAAUAUGUCAAACACAUAAGAGAUUUGAUGUCGUAGGGAAAACAUUUUUUAUGUCAUUCAUUAACGUCAGUUCCUCCCUAACAUAAUCACAUCCGGUUCUUGUCCAAUAAUUCUUGUCCAAUAAUCUCUUUAAAUGCACGUAAUGCCCAAUAAUGGUUUUCUUCAUCUUCUUUUUCCAAUAAAACAAACCCAGAAUAAAAGGAAGUAUUAAAACAUGAAACACCAAUGAUAUCAAAGGAGUGACACGUUAUAUUUAUUGGUUUUAUAGAUGCAAUCCAUCAAAAAUACGUUUGAGAAGGCUCUGGCCAAUUUAAUCGAAAAAUGGUGUGCAAUGAACAAACGAGUUAUGCACCCUCCACAUUAUGUGAAUAUCAUAAGUAAAACCAUAUUCGUUAAGCUCCUCAAAUAAUGCAUUGAUCAUGUGUAGUUGAUUUAUAUGUUACAUAAUUGCAAAUAAAUUCAAAAUCAGUAAAAAUAAUUAGUGACAAACUGGAAAAUAUAGCCAAAUGAAGUUAACUAACAACAUAAACAUUAGUAUGAUAAGUUGAUAGAUUAAAUUGUACAUGUAUAUUCUUGAUUAACAUUGAAUUUUGAAGUUAACUAACAACAUAAACAUUAGUAUGAUAAGCUGGUAGAUUAAAUUGUACAUUUCUAUUCUUGAUUAACAUUGAAUUUUAGUGUUACAGAAAGUAAGGCAUCAAGACAAAUAACAGGGUAUUUGAUGAAAUUAGUAGAAAAAGUAAGGAUAUAGCAUUCAUUUUUUUUGGACGAGUAAGGAUGAAAACAAUUGAUUUUUUUCAAUUGCGAACAACAAACGGUUGGUUUGAUCUUUUUCAAUCGCAAAUCACAAAACAUAACUGAAUUUAUAGUCAUAAUAGCAACUACGACAGUGGUGUAAACAAGAAUUGAAUAUAAAUAUCAUAAAUGAAUAUAAAAUCAUAAAUCAAAUAAAUAUAAUCAUAAUAUAAAAUCACAAAUCAGUGAUAGUGGAGCAAGCCGCUGACGGAGGUGGAGUAGUUGACGACGACAAUGGAUCAGGCGGCGAUGGGUUGAAGCAAACCGGAGAUCGAUAGUGGGAAGCGAAUGUUCAUUUCCUUGUUUAUGUGAUUGAAUAUUUGGAAGGGUUUUAGAUGAGAGGGGGUAGAUUGUAACGUUUGUUAAAACAGAGAAUAGAAUAAAAUUGUCGUUUACAAAAAUGUUGUGUGUCGUAAAAAAAAAGUUAGUUAUUGUGUACAAAUCAGUACUCCGGUUAUCAACACAAUAUAUUUAUUUUAUUUAUUUAAAUUUGUUGGUAAUAUAGAACUUAAUGCUAUGGUUUUUGAAUUUUCAGGCGAACACAUUUAGUUUGUUAUAAAUUUGAUUUUACAUAAGAAAAAUGUAGAUUGAAAUUUCAAAUAAACUACAAAUUAUCUAAAGAUAUUUUUUUUAAAUAAUUAAAAGAAUCUUUAUCUUUAUAAAUAUUAUUAAGAAUAUCAUUUAAAUCAAUAUGGUUCAUAAUACAUAUUUAUUUGAAACUCUCACAAAUUUUCAUCUUAUGAUAUUGAAAUGAUUGGUCGAUUAAAAUAUUUCAUUACAUAACUUCUAUAACUUUUCAAUUUAUGCUAAUUAAUUAACUAAUUAAUUAAAAUAAUUUUUCUAUAUAAAACGUUAUUUUAUAUUUGGGUAUUUAUAAAUAUCAAUUUUUGUUAUCUAAAGUCNNNNNNNNNNNNNNNNNNNNNNNNNNNNNNNNNNNNNNNNNNNNNNNNNNNNNNNNNNNNNNNNNNNNNNNNNNNNNNNNNGUACUUUAUUUGUAUGUAACCUUCUACUGCUAAAUGUUUAUGAUUGUACAAGCCAACAAAAAAAAUGAUACAUUUUUAAUUAAUAUGUUACAAUUUAUUUGACGUAGAAUUAUGGUAUAUUUUUGUUGUAUAUGUCAUUUGAGCUGUUUAUCAUAAUUUUUUUAUUAUAUUAAUAACUUUUGUGUAGAUAUAUAACUCUAUUAACGUCUGGACAAUUCUUUAAAUUAUGAUAACCGAUAUAUAAAAUAUGUUAUGCUCAUUUUCUAGCAUCAGAUUUUUUUUUCGUCAAUUAUAUUUUAGACUUUAGUAUAUCAUGACAUACUUUAAGAAAUAAUGUUUAUAUCUGUUUCUAUUCUAUACUAUAAAAGAGAUUAUUCAAACUCAUAUGGUUAGAGAUAAAUUCUUAUCUCAAACCAUAUGGAUUUGGAGCCUAUGUUUUUCAUAUUCCAUAAAUUAAUGAUAAUUACUAUAUUAGUUAUAUUUUUCUAAUACCUUUUGGAUUCCUACUUAUGUAUAAUAUGUUUUAUUACUAUAAAAAGAACAAUAUUUAGCAGAUACAUACACACAAAAAUCACA